UUCUUCGGGGCAGGGUGCAAUUCCCUACCGGCGGUAAAGUCCGCGACCUGGCGUGAGCCAGUUGAUCCGGUGAAGUCCAUAUGGACCAUUCCGGAACCGACAGUAUAGUCUGGAUGAGAGAAGAA
rnacentral:ncRNA from 1 species